UACGUAGGUGGCGAGCGUUGUCCGGAUUUACUGGGCGUAAAGGGCUUGUAGGCGGUCCGUUAAGUCCGAUGUGAAAUCUCCCGGCUCAACUGGGAGAGGUCAUUGGAUACUGGCGGACUAGAGGGGGGUAGAGGAAAGCAGAAUUCCUGGUGUAGCGGUGAAAUGCGUAGAUAUCGGGAGGAACACCUGUGGCGAAGGCGGCCCCCUGGUUAGAUACUGACGCCGAUACGCGAAAGCGUGGGGAGCAAACAGG
rnacentral:rRNA from 1 species